rnacentral:rRNA from 1 species
GGCGGCAGGCCUAACACAUGCAAGUCGAGCGAGACCUUCGGGUCUAGCGGCGGACGGGUUAGUAACGCGUGGGAACGUGCCCUUCUCUGCGGAAUAGCCACUGGAAACGGUGAGUAAUACCGCAUACGCCCUUCGGGGGAAAGAUUUAUCGGAGAAGGAUCGGCCCGCGUUAGAUUAGAUAGUUGGUGGGGUAACGGCCUACCAAGUCUACGAUCUAUAGCUGGUUUUAGAGGAUGAUCAGCAACACUGGGACUGAGACACGGCCCAGACUCCUACGGGAGGCAGCAGUGGGGAAUCUUAGACAAUGGGCGCAAGCCUGAUCUAGCCAUGCCGCGUGUGUGAUGAAGGUCUUAGGAUCGUAAAGCACUUUCGCCAGGGAUGAUAAUGACAGUACCUGGUAAAGAAACCCCGGCUAACUCCGUGCCAGCAGCCGCGGUAAUACGGAGGGGGUUAGCGUUGUUCGGAAUUACUGGGCGUAAAGCGCGCGUAGGCGGAUUGGAAAGUUGGGGGUGAAAUCCCGGGGCUCAACCCCGGAACUGCCUCCAAAACUAUCAGUCUAGAGUUCGAGAGAGGUGAGUGGAAUUCCAAGUGUAGAGGUGAAAUUCGUAGAUAUUUGGAGGAACACCAGUGGCGAAGGCGGCUCACUGGCUCGAUACUGACGCUGAGGUGCGAAAGUGUGGGGAGCAAACAGGAUUAGAUACCCUGGUAGUCCACACCGUAAACGAUGAAUGCCAGUCGUCGGGGCAGUAUACUGUUCGGUGACACACCCAACGGAUUAAGCAUUCCGCCUGGGGAG